GACUAUUUAGAUAGCAUGCAAUAGGAGAGACGUCCCCUCGAGAGUUUAAAACAGUUUCCAUGUCUCACUCCAACCUCAAGUUGUAUCGACUUCACCACCACCAUAUAUUUGAAGUAGUACAAAUACUUCGGCAUAUGUGAUCUCAAACAAAACAAAUGAUGCUCAACAUUGUUCGUAGGUCACUACAUGCACUACACACUUUAUCAUAGCAAAGCAAUAACUGUUUGUACUCUUACUGAAUAAAAAUUGGUUUAUGUAUCCAAUUACAUCACAUACUUGAGGUCUGACGAAGCUGAAUAAAAGUCCAACAAAUUCAAAACAAGAGAUAAAAAAAAGGUAAAUUCAACGUUUAAACAAAUAUAAGCGGCAGAAUUAACAUAUACGUACGGUAACACACUCUGUGUUUAGCUAGCCCGGCCGUUCACGAAUUAAAUUUGGGACGUACGUAUGUUAAUUAGUUUAAUUACUGGACGUGACACUGAACAUUGAAACGUAUGAACUCGCGCCACCUUUGACACGUACGUUCGUCGGCCUUCAUGCAUCUACGGGCCCAGCACCGGCACUUUGUUCUCGAGGUCGCCUUCACGGUACAUCUCCGCCGGCGCCGGCGCCGGACCGGCCAUUUCUUCGGACAGGCCGCCGGCGUCGAGGUCACGGAGCGCCAUGACGAGAGCCCAGGUCAAGGACGACGUCGGCAAUGGGGCCCCUCCGGCCGCCGUCGGGGGCACGACGACGGCGAUCUCGCCGCCCGUGACGCCGUCGUCGUUGGGGGGGCGGCGGCGAUCCGCAGCCUAGCCGCCAUUUCGCCGGAGGGUUUGGUCGUGGUCGCCUGGUCCUGUGGGUUGUGCAUAUUUA
rnacentral:lncRNA from 1 species